GAGGAGGAGGAGGACAGGUGAACGCAGCUGGCAGUGAGGAGCUGCUUGUUCGCAGGCCUUUAGGGGGAGUGUUGAGACGCGUGGAGACCGAGACUGGCACCGCGUCUGUGUGAAGGGGGAGAGGCUGGGAAACGACGGGAGCACAAGCGAGGCAGAGCUUCACCGUCUGUGGCCCUCUGUCCCCUCGUCCUCGAAGCCUGCAAAAAACACAUCGCCCUGCCGAUAACAAGGACGCGGAGCGAUCGAGGGAUAGACGCCACCGCUGUCGCGCCAGAACCGGGGAGAUGUCCACGAUCCAGGCAUGGUGAAGAUACAGUUGAACAAAGUAUCAGAUCUUCAGAUCCAUCAGGCCAGUCUUCAGUAACUAAAUGAAACUGGACUCCCUGAUAUUCAUCAAUCACUUAUCAGAACUCUACAUUUUUGCUUUCGCUCAUCCACCGCUCUAAAUGAGUGUCUCGGACAGCAAGAUCAGGGCUGGGGCACACACCAGAACCCACACAGAAUGUCCUGGAUCAACGGCUUCCUAGUGGCCAGAGUGGAUAACCGUAAGACCGCGUGGGGCGAGCGCAAUGGCAAGAAGUCCA